UAAAAAAAUGGCCAUUUUCGACCUAAAAAUUUCGACCACACUUUUGGUCGAAAAAAAAUCGACCACGGGUGGUCGAAAUUUGAAGGAUUUAAUUUUUAUUUAAUUUUUUAUAAAAUUUCGACCACAUCGGGUCGAUUUUUUAAUAGGAAAAUGCAUUUCGACCACGUGUGGUCGAAAUUAAUUUUUAUACAAAUAAUAAAUAAGAAAAAAAUAUUUUAUACAUAAUUAAAUUAUAUAUAUAUAUAAAAUAAUUAAUUAAAAAUAAAAAUAAAAUUCUAAUUUCGACUACACGUGGUCGAAAUAAUUAAGUCAGAAUCGGUCAAAUCUGACUUAGUUAUUUUCGACCACAUGUGGUCGAAAAUUUGAAAAGAUUUAGACCAGAUCUUUAAUUUUCUUUUUCAUUUCGCCCCUUCUCUUUCACUCUCUCCUCUCUCCCUCUCCUCUCUCUACCACCCACCACCCGACUGCCCCACCCCCUCCUUGUCAGCACUUGCCGCAGACACCGUCGUUUCCGACCAGCAAGCAUCGCCACCAGACGCCGACGCUGUUUCCGACCAGCAACCGUGGCCACCGGAUCUGAUACUUAACUUGAGGAUGCCCAGUCCGGAAAGGUUUUAUCCCUCGGUGGGCAAGGAUGAUCUCACAUUGACUUCACGAGGUAGGAACCAACAUGUGCUUGGCAAGGCAACUAGAAUGGCCACUAGUUUGUAGCCGCGACAUGAUUCAGGUUCCUUUGCCAUAUUCGGAACCGUGAGUCUGAGCCUCCGUAAUCAAAGCUCUCAAAGUUUGAUACGAGUCUACGGGAUAUUAUUUAUGUUCCUAAACGUCACCCUAGGGGGUGGUGUAUCAUUUUUUCUAACAUUUUUUUUGCGAGGUACGAAUAACGCAAGGCAGUAGAACAAAGAUGUACCAAAAGUUGAAGCGAAGAAAUUUGGAAGCACGGCAUGUUUGGCCGAAGAACUAGAAAAGGGGCAAAUAGGGCUCAAGUCUUAAACCUUAUUUAUUUCUAUCUAAAUUUAUGUAUCCAAGUAUUACAUGUAGAUGUUGGGUAUGCAAGCCCAAAUUAAUAGUUUAUGAUGGAUAUGUUUAAAUGGAUAUGUACAUUAUCUUUAAGGGUUUGAAUGUAGUUUUAGUUCGAAUUAGAAGUACUUUUAAGUUUAUAAUGUUUUAAGUGUUUGAAUGUAGUUUAUGAUGUUUAAGUGUUUGAAUGUAGUUUUAAUUUUAAGUACUUUGAGGUUGAAUUUGAUUGUUUAUAAGUGUUUGAAUGGACAAUAUUUAAGUGUUCAAGUGUUUGAACAUUGUU